UACGUAGGGGGCAAGCGUUGUCCGGAUUUAUUGGGCUUAAAGAGCGUGUAGGCGGCCAUACAGGUCAGCUGUGAAAACUCGAGGCUCAACCUCGAGACGUCGGUUGAAACCGUAUGGCUAGAGUCCGGAAGAGGAGAGUGGAAUUCCCGGUGUAGCGGUGAAAUGCGCAGAUAUCGGGAAGAACACCUAUGGCGAAGGCAGCUCUCUGGGACGGUACUGACGCUGAGACGCGAAAGCUAGGGGAGCAAACAGG
rnacentral:rRNA from 1 species